UUCAGUCUUGGGCAGCGUCAGAACCGAGGGUUUUUUCCACAGCCAAGAGAUUGCAGCGCAUGAGUCUUCUUCACCCGAGCACAGGGCGUCCUCUUCUUCCACAGCUUCAGCGAGUCUUCCUCUCUUUAACCGCGAGUCUUCACCAGCGCAAGAGAAGGAGACGGCAGGAGGCGUUCGGUGUUGGGGAUCUCCAGCGGAAGUGCACGCUCAGGUAAAGAGGAGGUUUGUGUGGCUCGUAGGCGGGACUCUAUCUGGUCAGCCCUCCAGAUAGGUCAUCAUACUCUACACUACCUUAGCCCGGUCAAACUGCAUAAUCUCCUAAGCUCGGGAUUGGCUACUACCUCAUCAAACUAGCCCCCUCAACCCAGGGUACUGGGGAGUUGCAUACUCUCUGAGCACGGCUGAUGGUACCCACAUACUAUCUGAGAUAUGUGGUUGCACUCUAUCUGCAUCUAGCAACGUGUUUGUUUUGCAGGAACCGUCAUAGGAGAUGCUAAGGAGGUGCAAGGGUCACAAGCUUGCCAAGGUGGAGAAUUGUUGGAGUGUCAAUCUAAAGAAAAAUCUUGGCCAUUCAUUUGAUGGAAAGAUCAAACGGCUGCUGCUAUUUUUCUUUUUAUGAGGGGCAGUGAUGUAAUUUUACCUGAAAUAUAUUGUAAAUGAAAUAAAACAGCAGGGGGCAUGAGGGGGAUUUUUCGUUCAGUUUUGGGCAGCUUUAGAACCGAGGGUUUUUUCCAUAGUCGAGAGAUUGCAGCGUAGGAGUCUUCUUCACCCGAGCGCAGGACAUCUUCUUCUUCCACAACUGCAGCGAGUCUUCCUCUCUUUAGCCGCGAGUCUUCACCAGCGCGAGAGAAGGAGACGACAGGAGGGCGUUCGGCGUUGGGGAUCUCCAGCGGAAGUGCACGCUUAGGUAAAGAGGAGGUAAUGCACAAAUCUAUUUCUUGGGAGGGAUUUCUUUAAGGGAAAUUAGGGAGAAGGAUAGGAAGAAGCCUAGGGUUCUUCUCAGGUGCAAAGAGGGGCUUUCUUUGGUCGUUCUUGGGCUACUUUCCAGAGAAAAUUGGUAAGCCAAGAAAGGGUAAAUCUGUGUAUGUAUAUUUAUUUCUGCCGGCUUUAAUAUAAUAUCUCCGAAGGUGAGUUUCUAUCA